rnacentral:rRNA from 1 species
GACGUAGGGCGCGAGCGUUUGUCCGGAUUUAUUGGGCGUAAAGAGCUCGUAGGCGGCUUGUCGCGUCGUUCGUGAAAACCUGCGGCUCAACUGCAGGCUUGCGGUCGAUACGGGCAGGCUGGAGUUCGGUAGGGGAGACUGGAAUUCCUGGUGUAGCGGUGAAAUGCGCAGAUAUCAGGAGGAACACCGGUGGCGAAGGCGGGUCUCUGGGCCGAUACUGACGCUGAGGAGCGAAAGGCGUGGGGAGCGAACAGG